GAUGAACGCUGGCGGCGUGCCUAAUACAUGCAAGUCGAGCGAACGGACGAGAAGCUUGCGUCUCUGAUGUUAGCCGAGCACGGGUGAGUAACGCGUGGAUCACCCACUUAUAAUACUGGGAUAACUUCGGGAAACCGGCGCUAAUACCGGAUAAUAUUCUGAACCGCAUGGUUCAAAGGUGAAAGACGGUGUUGCUGUAACUUAUAGAUGGAUCUGGGCUGCAUUAGCUAGUUGGUAAGGUAACGGCUUAUCAAGGGAACGAUGCAUAGCCGACGUGAGAGAGGGAUCGGCCGCACUGGAGCUGGGACGCGGUCCUGGCGCCUACGAGAGGCAGCAGUAGGGUAUCUUCCGCAGUGGGCGAGAGCCUGACAGAGCAACGCGGCGCGAGAUAUGAAGGUCCUCGGAGCGUAAUACUCUGUUACGAGGGAUGAACAUAUGUGUAAGUAACUGUGCACAGCUUGACGGUACCUAAUCAGAAAGCCACGGCUAACUACGUG
rnacentral:rRNA from 1 species